rnacentral:rRNA from 1 species
CCUACGGGUGCUGCAGUGGGGAAUAUUGCACAAUGGGCGCAAGCCUGAUGCAGCCAUGCCGCGUGUGUGAAGAAGGCCUUCGGGUUGUAAAGCACUUUCAGCGGGGAGGAAGGCGUUAAGGUUAAUAACCUUGUCGAUUGACGUUACCCGCAGAAGAAGCACCGGCUAACUCCGUGCCAGCAGCCGCGGUAAUACGGAGGGUGCAAGCGUUAAUCGGAAUUACUGGGCGUAAAGCGCACGCAGGCGGUCUGUCAAGUCGGAUGUGAAAUCACCGGGCUCAACCUGGGAACUGCAUUCGAAACUGGCAGGCUAGAGUCUUGUAGAGGGGGGUAGAAUUCCAGGUGUAGCGGUGAAAUGCGUAGAGAUCUGGAGGAAUACCGGUGGCGAAGGCGGCCCCCUGGACAAAGACUGACGCUCAGGUGCGAAAGCGUGGGGAGCAAACAGGAUUAGAUACCCGGGUAGUC